CUUCAUAUCAAAAAGAGUCUUUACAUCAGAGUGAAUCUGAUUACAAAAGGUGAACAAAAUAGGAGGAAAAAGUGCCUAGGGAUGAAUGUCAGGAUUAGCAGCUUUGUUGGCAACCUCUAAAGCGGUGUCCUCUUCAGCUUCUCCUUCGUCAGGUCGCAUUUCAUUGAGAUCCCAUUCGGGGUGAAGAUGGCUGAUAGUCGCUUUAUAAUCCUCAAAACUAACUCUGUAAGCAAGAGCUAAUCCCUCACUAAGCUCGUUAUUGUACUUUUGAGAAGACCAAAACUCGACCAGUGCCCGAGAAGCUGCCUCCUAAGCUCAAGGCUCCACUAUCGAUGCUUUCUUCUUAGCUUUUCGAGCUAUU
rnacentral:lncRNA from 1 species